GUGCUCGCUUUGGCAGCACUUAUACUAAAAUUGGAACGAUACAGAAAUUAGCAUGGCCCCUGCGGAAGGAUGACAUGUAAAUUCAUGAAGCGUUACGUAUUUAA